rnacentral:rRNA from 1 species
CAGGGCAAUUGUCUUGUAAUUGGAAUGAUGGUGACGUAAAAUCUCACCAGAGUAACAAUUGGAGGGCAAGUCUGGUGCCAGCAGCCGCGGUAAUUCCAGCCCCAAUAGCGUAUAUUAAACUUGUUGCAGUUAAAAAGCUCGUAGUUGUAUUUUUGCGUUAGCGGUUUGACCAUUUGGUUGGUUAUUUCGUUUUCGCUUUUGGGAAUUUCCCUUUUUACUUUGAGAAAAUUAGAGUGUUUCAAGCAGACUUUUGUCUUGAAUACUUCAGCAUGGAAUAGUAGAGUAGGACUUUGGUUCUAUUUUGUUGGUUAUUGAACCUUAGUAAUGGUUAAUAGGAACGGUUGGGGGCAUUCGUAUUUAACUGUCAGAGGUGAAAUUCUUAGAUUUGUUAAAGACGAACUACUGCGAAAGCAUUUGCCAAGGACGUUUCCAUUAAUCAAGAACGAAAGUUAGGGGAUCGAAGAA